rnacentral:rRNA from 1 species
UACGUAGGGUGCAAGCGUUGUCCGGAAUUAUUGGGCGUAAAGCGCGUGUAGGCGGCUUGGCAAGUCGGGUGUGAAAGCCCCGGGCUCAACCUGGGAAGUGCACUCGAAACUGCUUGGCUUGAGUACUGGAGAGGGAUGCGGAAUUCCAGGUGUAGCGGGUGAAAUGCGUAGAGUAUCUGGAGGAACACCGGUGGCGAAGGCGGCAUCCUGGACCAACACUGACGCUGAGGAGCGAAAGCCAGGGGAGCAAACGGG